rnacentral:rRNA from 1 species
GGGGUGACGAAUGUGGAACGAGCGGCGAACGGGUGAGUAACACGUAGGAAGGCCAGAGGCUCGGGAUAACUCCGGGAAACCGGGGCUAAACCGGAAAGGCAUCAUCAUCUCCUGAUGGUGAUGUAAAAGACGGUUUCGGCCGUCACUUACAGAUGGGCCUGCUGCGCAUUAGCUAGUUGGUGAGGUAAGGGCUCACCAAGGCGACGAUGCGUAGCCGACCUGAGAGGGUGAUCGGCCACACUGGGACUGAGACACGGCCCAGACUCCUACGGGAGGCAGCAGUAGGGAAUCUUCCGCAAUGGACGCAAGUCUGACGGAGCAACGCCGCGUGAGUGAUGAAGGUUUUCGGAUCGUAAAACUCUGUUGUGAGGGAAGAACAAGGAUAGGUUUUGACUUUUUUGUCCCUUGACGGUACCUCACCAGAAAGCCACGGCUAACUACGUGCCAGCAGCCGCGGUAAUACGUAGGGGGCGAGCGUUGUCCGGAUUUACUGGGCGUAAAGGGUGAGUAGGCGGUUGUAUAUGUCAGGUGUAAAAGACUAUGGCUUAACCAUAGUUAGCACUUGAAACUGUAUGACUUGAGUGCAGGAGAGGUAAGUGGAAUUCCUAGUGUAGCGGUGAAAUGCGUAGAUAUUAGGAGGAACACCAGUGGCGAAGGCGAUUUACUGGACUGUAACUGACGCUGAGUCACGAAAGCGUGGGUAGCAAACAGGAUUAGAUACCCUGGUAGUCCACGCUGUAAACGAUGAGUGCUAGGUGUUGGCCAGCGAUGGUCAGUGCCGCAGUAAACGCAUUAAGCACUCCGCCUGGGGAGUACGUACGCAAGUAUGAAACUCAAAGGAAUUGACGGGGACCCGCACAAGCAGCGGAGCAUGUGGUUUAAUUCGAAGCAACGCGAAGAACCUUACCAAGGCUUGACAUCCCCUUGACAGGUGCAGAGAUGUACCCUCCUCUUCGGAGGCAAGGGUGACAGGUGGUGCAUGGUUGUCGUCAGCUCGUGUCGUGAGAUGUUGGGUAAAGUCCCGCAACGAGCGCAACCCUUAUCCUUAGUUGCCAGCAGGUAAUGCUGGGCACUCUAGGGAGACUGCCGGUGAUAAACCGGAGGAAGGUGGGGAUGACGUCAAAUCAUCAUGCCCCUUAUGUCUUGGGCUACACACGUGCUACAAUGGUCGGUACAACGGGGAGCUAAGGAGCGAUCUGGAGCAAAUCCCAAUAAACCGAUCCCAGUUCGGGAUUGUAGGCUGCAACUCGCCUACAUGAAGUCGGAGUUGC